CCCAAUCAUAUUUACUACAGAAUUCGUAAACUGGGCUAUCUAUUAGUUGGUACCUGGUCUCUGUUACUCGCUCUCGUUGCUUCCGUACAAUUAAGCCGAAUAGCGUUCUGGAUUAAGUCGCGUCGCAAGAAAUCAACAAAUGCUCCACUCUAACAAUGGGAAUUUGUUGCUUUCUGUACUUCCCUUGAUGCUUACCACAGGAUUUUUUUUUUCCAUCGUAUUAAUGCUCUGAAGAAUUUGGUAGUGUAACAUGUUGGAAUGUUCUUAGGCCCAAGAAACUGUGUGCUAGUCUUCUCAGGUGUAGACUCACUCCCUAGACUUUCACUCCCCGACUAUACUGCCCCUGCAUUUUCUUAAUAUGGCUGUUCACAUUUAUUUAGUUAUGUUAAAAAAAUUUGGCUACAUAGAAAUAGACUAAUUUCACGUUGGUGUUUC
rnacentral:sRNA from 1 species